UGAAAUAAUGUACGAGUCAGUUUUUGUUUUUGGCACUAAAAUAUUUCCUGAGACGAAACGCGACGCUAUUUCUUCCUUGCCACUAGAAUUAUCUUGGAAAAUAUUUUCUGAGCUCAUCGACAGCGAAUAUGAUAUCAUCAAAACGAGGGGGUGACGACUUAUUUGUUUGUACCAAACGGUACAGGUUAUUUUAAUAUAUAGAACUAUAAAAGCGAGUUAUAAAUAUGUAAAUGUCACCGUAAAAUUGUAAACACCGUUAGAUUGUAAUCUAUCUCGCAAGAUUGUAAUCUCUCGAAAGAUUGCCAACUCAACGUACUGCACACAAUUUAACGUAAUAUUAUUCGGUAGAUUGUAAUCUAUCGAAGUGAAACCGUCAAAUUACAAUCUUAAAAUUGCCAAGUUUACGGUGUUUAUAAUUUUACGGUGACAUAUAUAAAUAAAUGACUAACAUUAUUAGCAAUUUUAAAGAUCAAUUAGAAUGAAAGUAAAAAUACAACUUUACAUUGAA